rnacentral:rRNA from 1 species
GUAGGUGGCAAGCGUUGUCCGGAAUUAUUGGGCGUAAAGCGCGCGCAGGCGGUUCUUUAAGUCUGAUGUGAAAGCCCACGGCUCAACCGUGGAGGGUCAUUGGAAACUGGAGAACUUGAGUACAGAAGAGGAAAGCGGAAUUCCACGUGUAGCGGUGAGAUGCGUAGAGAUGUGGAGGAACACCAGUGGCGAAGGCGGCUUUCUGGUCUGUAACUGACGCUGAGGCGCGAAAGCGUGGGGGGAGCAAACAGGAUUAGAUACCCUGGUAGUCCACGCCGUAAACGAUGAGUGCUAAGUGUUAGGGGGUUUCCCGCCCCUUAGUGCUGCAGCUAACGCAUUAAGCACUCCGCCUGGGAGUACGGCCGCAAGGCUG